CGACCGGCGCACGGGUGAGUAACACGUAUGCAACCUGCCCUCUUCAGGGGGACAACCUUCCGAAAGGGAGGCUGAUCCCGCGUAUAUCGGUUUCGGGCAUCCGAGAUCGAGGAAAGAUUCAUCGGAAGAGGAUGGGCAUGCGGCGCAUUAGCUAGACGGCGGGGUAACGGCCCACCGUGGCGACGAUGCGUAGGGGUUCUGAGAGGAAGGUCCCCCACACUGGUACUGAGACACGGACCAGACUCCUACGGGAGGCAGCAG
rnacentral:rRNA from 1 species